GCAAAGGAAAUAUUAGCGCCCACGUUACCUCUGUAGAUUAAGGUGAGUGAGGACUGCAGACCAUGUUUGGAAGACUGAAAGUGGCUAGCCAAAUCGGAGAGGAAGCCAAAUGAACUCUGCCUAACCAAUUAGCCGAGUGGGCUGCUCAAGCAAAUGACAUGACAGUCUGUGGCUGCUUCACUGCUACAGGAGGCCCUGAGGUCUGCAGGAUCCCUCCCUCGCAGAUGAGGAGAUUUAAGAAGGAUUUCAGUUCCUGAGCCAACUGCAGCGUUAAUUACUUUAAGGGGCCUGGGAGUAUGAUGUACCUUCUCCGCCCUCUGGGGCCACAAUUGAAUUUCUUCAAUUGACCUGUAGCAGAACAUUUAAAGCAAACUGAUGUUAAAAACGAGCACUACCAGAAGAGUUUGAAAUGACCAUGAGGACUGCAGCCUCAGGUGGAGGGAAAAGUGGUCUCCAGAAGGUUCCAGAAAUCGGUGUGAAGUUUGCUUUUAGGCUGGGACAUUUCCAGAUGGACCGAGAGUCUUUUUGUCCUGUUGUGAACAGUCAGCUUGAACAGUGAUAAUAUGACAGGCAGGAAUGAGUUGACGGACCUCUCAGACCCAUACGUGACUCUCACGCUCGCCAUAAUGUGUGAAGGCGCCCAAUGACACUCAUAGGAGUGACUGCAAAGGGUGUCACUGGGCAAAAUGAAGUGCACAGUCACAAAAAAUGUUGAAAAGGCAGCUAAAUGCUGCAACAGAAGUCACAGCAAGGGACAAGCACUAUAAUAUAACACAAGGGUAAACAAGCCAUUGCCUGCCACAGACCAUGUUCACAGCAGACAUUUCGACUCAUCGCAGCAGGGAAAUGCACAGGUGGAUGACGGAUCAAGUGUCCCAAUAAGCCACGACAGUGAACCAGCAUGCACAAAAGCAGAAGCUCUCUGAG